UACGAAGGGGGCGAGCGUUGUUCGGAUUUACUGGGCGUAAAGCGUGCGCAGGCGGUUUUGUAAGUCUGUUGUGAAAUCCCCGGGCUUAACCUGGGAAUGGCAAUGGAGACUGCAAGGCUAGAGUUUGGCAGAGGGGGGUAGAAUUCCACGUGUAGCAGUGAAAUGCGUAGAGAUGUGGAGGAACACCGAUGGCGAAGGCAGCCCCCUGGGUCAAGACUGACGCUCAUGCACGAAGGCGUGGGGAGCAAACAGG
rnacentral:rRNA from 1 species